rnacentral:tRNA from 1 species
AAUUAAUGAACUUGUAUAAGUAUAUAUUUUGAAAAUAUAAAAAAGAGGAAUAAUCCUCUAUUAAUUU